rnacentral:rRNA from 2 species
CGCGAAACUUGGCAAUGCGAGAAAUCGUGACCAGGGAACUCCAAGUGCGUAGGGUAAGACCUACGCUUUUCUUGACUCUUCAAAGGUCUUGGAAUAAGGGGUGGGUAAGGACGGUGCCAGCCGCCGCGGUAAUACCGGCGCCUCAAGUGGUAGUCGCUUUUAUUGGGCCUAAAACGUCCGUAGCCGGUCUGGUGCAUUCGUGGGUAAAUCAACCCGCUCGACGGGUUGAAUUCUGCGAGCACGGCCAGACUUGGGACCGGGAGAGGUGUGGGGUACUCGAGGGGUAGGGGUAAAAUCCUGUCAUCCUUUGAGGACCACCAGUUGCGAAGGCGCCACACUGGAACGGAUCCGACGGUCAGGGACGAAGCCUAGGGGCACGAACCGGAUUAGAUACCCCGGGUAGUCCUAGGUGUAAACGCUGUGAACUUGGUGUCGGGGAUCCGCAAGGGGUCCUCGGUGCCGGAGUGAAGGUGUUAAGUUCACUGCCUGGGGAGUACGGUCGC